AAUGUUAAUUAAUGUUAAUAUGAGCGCCAUUUCAUAGUGUAAACUUUUACUAUACGAAUAAUCUCCAUUGUCAUUGUCAAUCAAAUUUAGAUGAUGAUGACGGCCAGAGUCUGGCUGGCUCUCAUUCAGAGGCUGCAGCAAGCAUCUCUCAAGCACCUCUAGCAACUCCGUUUACAGAGGCAGGGAGGAAUAAAAUGACAGAGCCGAGGAUAAACGAAUGUCAUCGAGCCGUGACUAAGUUUGUGGUAAAGGGUUUGCAUCCGUUUGCCACAGUAGAAGCCUCUGCAUUUCGCCAGAUGAUAAAGACUAUCAACCCAAAAUACAAUGCCCCAAACAGAGACAGUUUAACAAAUCAUCUGAUUCCUGCUUGGUAUGGGGUUGAAAAGAGCAAUCUGAUCAAAGACCUGAAACAUGUCACACAUGCAGCCAUCACAGCAGAUGGAUGGACUAGUUUCAGUCAAGACCACUACCUCACCGUAACAUUGCACUAUAUCAGGGAAGGUCUGACUAAAGAAAAAGUCCUCCAAACCAAAGCUGUGUACAGAGCUCAAACAGGGAUAGCUGUGGCUGAGGAGAUUGAGGGGUCCUGGAGGAGUUUGAAGUAAAAGAGAAGGUGGUGGCGGCAACAGUGGAUAACGCAGCAAACAUGGAUGUAGCUGUGAAAACGGUAAAUAUCAUCAAGUUUCCAUGUUUUGCGCACACUUGAACCUCAGAAGCUGUACAACUGCAAUACAGUUUCCAACUGGGCAGCAAGGAUUCAUUCUUUGAUCGUUGGAUGAAGAGAUCCCACAUGGCUAAAGUAGUCCUGAAGGAAAAGCAACAACUCCUCAAUCUUCCCCAGCACAUGCUCCUUUUAGAUGUGAGGACGAGAUGGAACUCUGUAUUUGAUGAUGGAGAGAUUUUGUGAACAGUUUCCUGCUAUCCAAGCUGCAUCUAUAGACCAACGGCUUAGAAAGCCCAUGGAGAAGAAAGAAAAUAAUGUUUGAAAAAAUGUAAAAUGACUAAAAGCCAUUAAAAGGGUUAUGGUGUUGUUUAGCCAAUUUUUUUAUGUUGCAGACUGGCCAGAAUGGGCAAUGAGGACCUGAGGAAAGCAGAGAAGUUUGUGCUGCUGAUGAGGAUGAAUUACACAUCCACACUUGCUGUCUCCAGCGAAAAAGUCCAACCUGUGGCCAGAUAUUGCCCAUCCUUCAGAAAAUGUGCAAACAUUACACAGUGCAGGCAGACGACUCUGCAUUCGUCAGGAGCAUCAAGAAAAACAUCUGGAAUGAUCUUUCCAAACGUAACCAGACACCACCUGUAAAGCAGAAAAAGAGGACAGCCCUAGAGGAACUUUUCGAAGAAGAGGACAGCAAGCUGCUUUCCAUGCAGCAGCAGCCCCCUGUAUCCACAGCCCAGAGAGUGGAGCAAGAAGUCCAGCUUUAUAUAAGCCUUCCUCCCAUUCCAACCAAAGACAAUGCCAGUUUCUGGUGGUGGAAG